AGUGAACGCUGGCGGUAGGCCUAACACAUGCAAGUCGAACGGCAGCACAGUAAGAGCUUGCUCUUACGGGUGGCGAGUGGCGGACGGGUGAGGAAUACAUCGGAAUCUACUUUUUCGUGGGGGAUAACGUAGGGAAACUUACGCUAAUACCGCAUACGACCUACGGGUGAAAGCAGGGGAUCUUCGGACCUUGCGCGAUUGAAUGAGCCGAUGUCGGAUUAGCUAGUUGGCGGGGUAAAGGCCCACCAAGGCGACGAACCGUAGCUGGUCUGAGAGGAUGAUCAGCCACUGGAACUGAGACACGGUCCAGACUCCUACGGGAGGCAGCAGUGGGGAAUAUUGGACAAUGGGCGCAAGCCUGAUCCAGCCAUACCGCGUGGGUGAAGAAGGCCUUCGGGUUGUAAAGCCCUUUUGUUGGGAAAGAAAAGCAGCAGGUUAAUACCCCGCUGUUCUGACGGUACCCAAAGAAUAAGCACCGGCUAACUUCGUG
rnacentral:rRNA from 1 species